ensembl:lncRNA
GGGGUCUACUUCAGAGUGCAUUUAAACAGAGGUAGUGGUGUGACUGAAACCCAUGUGACUGAAACCCAUGCCAGAGGCAGCCGUGUGGUGGUGUGACUGAAACCCAUGUGACUGAAACCCAUGCCAGAGGCAGCCGUGUGGUGGGGUGACUGAAACCCAUGCCCGAGGCAGCCGUGUGGUGGGGUGACUGACACCCAUGCCCGAGGCAGCCGUGUGGUGGGGUGACUGAAACCCAUGCCCGAGGCAGCCGUGCGGUGGGGAGACUGAAACCCAUGCCCGAGGCAGCCGUGCGGUGGGGUGACUGAAACCCAUGCCCGAGGCAGCCGUGUGGUGGGGUGACUGAAACCCAUGCCCGAGGCAGCCGUGUGGUGGGGAGAAAUAAUUCUGUAAAUGGUGGACGGAGAUGUCUUUGUAACUCCUCUGACUGACAGCACAGCCCU